rnacentral:rRNA from 1 species
ACAAGCGGUGGAGUAUGUGGUUAAUUCGAUGCAACGCGAAGAACCUUACCUGGCCUUGACAUCCCGGGAAUUUCCUGGAAACAGGAGAGUGCUUUCAUUAGAGAGAACCUGGAGACAGGUGCUGCAUGGCUGUCGUCAGCUCGUGUCGUGAGAUGUUGGGUUAAGUCCCGCAACGAGCGCAACCCUUGCCUUUAGUUGCCAGCAGUUCGGCUGGGCACUCUAAAGGGACUGCCGGUGACAAACCGGAGGAAGGUGGGGAUGACGUCAAGUCCUCAUGGCCCUUAUGUCCAGGGCUACACACGUGCUACAAUGGUCGCUACAGAGUGACGCGAAGCCGCGAGGUGGAGCAAAUCGCAGAAAAGCGACCUUAGUUCGGAUUGGAGUCUGAAACCCGACUCCAUGAAGGUGGAAUCGCUAGUAAUCGCGCAUCAGCAUGGCGCGGUCGAAUACGUUCCCGGGCCUU